rnacentral:rRNA from 1 species
CGGUUCUGUCAGUCCUCCGUUAAAUCCACCUGCUCAACAGAUGGGCUGCGGGGGAUACCACAGAGCUAGGAGGCGGGAGAGGCAAACGGUACUCAGUGGGUAGGGGUAAAAUCCGUUGAUCCAUUGAAGACCACCAGUGGCGAAGGCGAUUUGCCAGAACGCGCUCGACGGUGAGGGAUGAAAGCUGGGGGAGCAAACCGGAUUAGAUACCCGGGUAGUCCCAGCUGUAAACGAUGCAGACUCGGUGAUGGGUUGGCUUCGAGCUAACUCAGUGCCGCAGGGAAGCCGUUAAGUCUGCCGCCUGGGGA